rnacentral:rRNA from 1 species
CACGAACCGUACGAACGUUAUUCGGAAUUACUGGGCUUAAAGGGUUUGUAGGCAGCCAUGUAAGUCAGGUGUGAAAUCCCUCGGCUCAACCGAGGAACGGCGCUUGAUACUGCAUGGCUUGAGGGAGACAGGGGUAAGCGGAACUGAUGGUGGAGCGGUGAAAUGCGUUGAUAUCAUCAGGAACACCGGUGGCGAAAGCGGCUUACUGGGUCUCUUCUGACGCUGAGGAACGAAAGCUAGGGUAGCGAACGGG